CGCAUCAUGAAAGCCGCUUGUACCCGAAGUCGGCUGUGCCAACUCGCAAGAGAGGCAGGUGCCGAAGGUAUGGGUGGUGAUUGGGAUG
rnacentral:rRNA from 1 species